UCAAACUUGGUCAUUUAGAGGAAGUAAAAGUCGUAACAAGGUUUCCGUAGGUGAGUAACAACCAUUUCCCCAACGACCAUUUUGUGAUUGAUCAUUUGCUAACUGUUCUUGAUAGGUGAACCUGCGGAAGGAUCAUUACCGAGUACCGGUGCCCUCUGGGUGCCUGCUCCCACCAUUUGUGAACCAUCAACCGUUGCUUUGGCGGACCGGCUCUGCCCCCCGGCGUCGUCGGGGCGCGUCCGCCAGAGGUCUUUCAAACCCGUUCAAUCUGAAAUCAGAGUCCAAUGAAAAUAAAUCAAAACUUUCAACAACGGAUCUCUUGGUUCUGGCAUCGAUGAAGAACGCAGC
rnacentral:misc_RNA from 1 species